rnacentral:rRNA from 1 species
UGGGGAAUAUUGCACAAUGGGGGAAACCCUGAUGCAGCGACGCCGCGUGAGCGAAGAAGGCUUUCGAGUCGUAAAGCUCUGUCCUAUGAGAAGAUAAUGACGGUAUCAUAGGAGGAAGCCCUGGCUAAAUACGUGCCAGCAGCCGCGGUAAUACGUAUGGGGCGUGCGUUGUCCGGAAUUAUUGGGCGUAAAGGGUACGUAGGCGGUUUUUUAAGUCAGGUGUCAAAGCGUGGAGCUUAACUCCAUUAAGCACUUGAAACUGAAAGACUUGAGUGAAGGAGAGGAAAGUGGAAUUCCUAGUGUAGCGGUGAAAUGCGUAGAUAUUAGGAGGAAUACCGGUGGCGAAGGCGACUUUCUGGACUUUUACUGACGCUCAGGUACGAAAGCGUGGGGAGCAAACAGG